rnacentral:lncRNA from 10 species
AUUCCAGCUAAUAAAGGAAGAGAAAUAACAGGAUGAAAACUUCAGCAUUUCAUCACCCUGAAGCAAUUAAGGAUGAAAACAAUGAUCAGCCAUGAGGGUGGCUGACGUUACAGAAAGAGCCAGCCAGACCCAGGUGCUUCCUGAGAGAGACACCAACAUUAACGGUAAUUAUAAUUGCCAGCUGGGUACUUCAUGCCUUCAGGUAGGUAGAUACGUUACUUGCAGAAGUAAAAGAAAAUCGAGGUAAAUACUUCACUGAUGGUUUUCAGAUGGGCCUUGGCCUGUCAACUCUCCAAGAAAAGGAGGUACCAGAAAUUCAAAGCAAAUGAAAACCUUAGGAUUUGGCCCCACUGACUGUAUGCAGGAUGCCUCAAGGUAAAUGCCAGGAGGAAAGGAACAAAGGGAAAUAAGGGGAGUGAAUUAGUCAGGGUUCUCCAGAGAAACUGAGCCAGUAGGAGAUAUAGAUACAUGCAUAGGAGAUUUAUUAUGAAUUGGCUCAUGCAAUUAUGGAAACCAAGAAGUUCUAUGAUAUGCUGUGUGCAGGCUGGAGACCCAGAAGAACCAGUGGUCUAAUUCAGCCUGAAUUCAAAGGCCUGAUAACCAGGGAAAGGUCUAAAGGCCCAGGAACGAGGAGCUCUGAUGUCCACAGGCUGGAGAAAAUGGAUGUCCCAGCUCAAGCAGGGAGUGUAAAUUUGAUCUUCCUCCACUUUUUUUUUUUCUAUUCAGGCCCUCAAAUGAUUACAUGAUACCUACAAACAUGGGUGAGAGAGAUCUUCUUUACUCAAUCUACUGAUUCCAAACUAAUCUCUCCUGGAAAUACCUUCACAGACACAUCCAGGGAUCACGUUUUACCAGCUAUCCGGCACUGCAAGACCAGCCAAGCUGACAUCUGAAAUUAACCAUCACAGGGAGCAUCUGCCGCCCCACAUCCUCAGGUAUGGGGAGACGUGCUUGAUGGUCACUGACACCAUGAAUACUUGACGCUGAUGAUGUGGCAUGGCUCCUCACAUGUGUCUUCACCCCAUCCUCUUCCAAAAGGAAACUGCUGCUCUCCUGCCCAGUUUUAGAGUCUCCCAGCAGGCCCUCAGGGGAGGGCUGGAGCACAUCAAGUUAUGACGGGGAGCUUCCUCCAAGACCAGGCUGCCACAUCCUGUGCACAAAGCCUCGUGAACCGCAGUGACAGGCUCAUUUAGAAACAAAUUAGGGGUUAAGUAAAAAGUGCAGGACAGAGGCAAAACCGAGUUUCCCUUUCCCCUUCCUGUCGGUUAGCAUUAGAAGGUGCCCAUGAGCAGCGUGUGUCAAGAAUAUGAACGUGAGAUGUCAUUUUGGCUGCCUCUAAUUGAAGCCAGGAUAAAUGGAGUGGAAAGGCAGCGUCUAAUCCAAUCAAAACAUGAAAAAGUGCCCAAUGAAGCUUGUGCACAUACCUUCACGGACAAACUUUCAGGACUAGCUGCACACCAAGGCUCCAUCUGUGUUGCUCUACCCCCAUCUACUGAUAAAAGCCUGCUACUUCUGCUACUUCUCCGGGAAAGCCUCCUCGUCAGUCCUCUUCCUGAGCGAGCUCUGUCUGAGGACCAUUCGCAAUAGAACGAGAGGAUUCACUGCUGUUGUAAAUCACUCCACCUUGGAAACUUUCAGGUCAAUGUGGUGUAUGUUCCAAGAAUAAUUAAUAGUGUUCUAGUUUACUAACUGGUAAGUUACUUUUUUCCUUUUUUUAUAUCACUUUUGACAAUCAAAGAAAAGACAAUUAUCACUUGAAGCUGUUUUCCCUUCUUUCUUUUGUUUUUUUUUCAAAGUGGGGUGUCAGUUUAAUUAGAAAAAAAAAUCACACAUGUUGUGGUGGUUUUCAGAACAUAUUGUUAUUCUAAAUGUGUUGCUGUUGAAUGGGUUUUUGUUUGUUUGUUUGUUUUUAAGCUUCACGGAUCAUCUUUCCACUGGCUUAGAGGGAGGUAAGCAUGGCAGUAAAUGAGAUGCUUACGAAGUGGUUAGGAUCCUUCUUGGAUGGAGUUCCCCAGCUGGCAGCUGGGGUGAACGGACUUUGAGUGUUUCUGAGUGCUGGAAGAAUAUUACAGAUUUGGUUGAAAAAAGUAGGAGACUUUGCAUCUCCACAAAUUCAUGACGGGAGGCUUUGUUUAAUUAAAUAGCAAUGAUUUGAGAACAAAAUUAUAGCAAAUUUUUGUCAAGUUUAUCACUUCUGUGAGUCUAU